GUUUAAAGUGUGUUGGUUGUUCCUUUCAUUUGCUCAUACACUCUUCCCAGUGGGCCACUUCCUCAGUUUCUUUCAUUUGGAAUUGCAAUUACAGUAGGUAGGAGAACUUAGUGGUCAAGAAGAAACUCUUUGAUAAGAGAAAUGGAAUGCUGGGUCUAGUUUUUCUUUUCUUUCAUUUUUUAAUUAGUGAUUUAAUAUUGAUUUACAAAAUUAAAAGAGAACAGGGAUAUAAUUCCACACCAUUCCUGCCCCAGAAUUCUGUGUUUCCACUCCCUUCACUGGAAACUGCAGUGGCUCUCCCAAGAUCACAGGAUUGUCUAUACAGUCUUCCAAAGUGGCUGUACCAGUUUGCACUCUCAACAGCAGUGUAGCAGAGUUUCCUUUUCUCCACAACCUCUCCAACAUCUGUCAUUUCCUGGUUUGUUGAUGUAAGCCAUUCUCCCAUUCUCUAAUCAUUUCUCUAAUAAAACGUGGAGCAUUUCUUCAUG